GACGAAUGCUGGCGGCGCGCCUAACACAUGCAAGUCGAACGAGCGAGAGAGAGCUUGCUUUCUUGAGCGAGUGGCGAACGGGUGAGUAACGCGUGAGGAACCUGCCUCAAAUAUGGGGACAACAGUUGGAAACGACUGCUAAUACCGCAUAAGCCCACGCCCCGGCAUCGGGUUGAGGGAAAAGGAGCAAUCCGCUUUGAGAUGGCCCCGCGUCCGAUUAGCUAGUUGGUGAGGUAACGGCCCACCAAGGCGACGAUCGGUAGCCGGACUGAGAGGUUGAACGGCCACAUUGGGACUGAGACACGGCCCAGACUCCUACGGGAGGCAGCAGUGGGGAAUAUUGCACAAUGGGGGAAACCCUGAUGCAGCGACGCCGCGUGGAGGAAGAAGGUCUUCGGAUUGUAAACUCCUGUUGUUGAGGAAGAUAAUGACGGUACUCAACAAGGAAGUGACGGCUAACUACGUG
rnacentral:rRNA from 1 species